AGCCCUGUAGUGUAGCGGCCAAGCAUGCGAGGUUCUGGGCCUUGCGACUCAGGUUCGAAUCCUGGCAGGGCUA
rnacentral:tRNA from 1 species